CCUACGUGAUGCAGCAGUGAGGAAUAUUGGUCAAUGUGCGCGAGCCUGAACCAGCCUAGUAGCGUGAAGGAUGAAUGCCCUACGGGUUGUACACUUCUUUUAUAAAGGAAUAAAGUGAGGCACGUGUGCCUUGUUGUCUGUACUUUAUGAAUAAGCAUCGUCUAACUCCGUGCCAGCAGCCGCGGUAAUACGGAGGAUCCGCUCGUUAUCCGGAUUUAUUGUGUUUAAAGGGAGCGUAGAUGGGUUGUUAAGUCAGUUGUGAAAGUUUGCGGCUCAAACGUAAAAUUGCAAUUGAUACUGGCAGCAUUGAGUACAGUUGAGGGAGGCGGAAUUCGUGGUGUAGCGGUGAAAUGCUUAGAUAUCACGAAGAACGCCGAUUGCGAAGGCAGCGUACUAAACUGCCACUGACGUUGAUGCUCGAAAGUGUGGGUAUCAAACAGGAUUAGAUACCCCUGUAGUC
rnacentral:rRNA from 1 species